rnacentral:rRNA from 1 species
CCUACGGGUGGCAGCAGUGGGGGAUAUUGCACAAUGGGGGAAACCCUGAUGCAGCAACGCCGCGUGUGGGAAGAAGGUUUUCGGAUUGUAAACCACUGUUCUUGGUGAAGAUAAUGACGGUAACCAAGGAGAAAGCUCCGGCUAACUACGUGCAAGCAGCCGCGGUACUACGUAAGGAGCAAGCGUUGUCCGGAGUUACUGGGUGUAAAGGGUGCGUAGUCGGUCUUGCAAGUCAGACGUGAAAACCACAGGCUCAACCUGGGGAUUGCGGGUGAAACUGUGGUGAUUGAGUGAAGUAGACGUAGGCGGAAUUCCUGGUGUAGCGGUGAAAUGCGUAGAGAUCGGGAGGAACACCAGUGGCGAAGGCGGCCUACUGGGCUUUAACUGACGCUGAGGCACGAAAGCAUGGGUAGCAAACAGGAUUAGAUACCCCAGUAGUC